CGUCGGCCUGCGGGCUCCCCAUUUGGCCCGUCUUGAAACACGGACCAAGGAGUCUGACAUGUGUGCGAGUCAACAGGCUAGAAAACCCGUAAGACGUAAGGAAGCUGAUUGGCGGGAUCCCUCACGGGUGCACCACCGACCGACCUUGAUCUUUUGAGAAGGGUUCGAGUGAGAGCAUGCCUGUCGGGACCCGAAAGAUGGUGAACUAU
rnacentral:ncRNA from 1 species